GACGAACGCUGGCGGCGUGCUUAACACAUGCAAGUCGAACGGUGAAGCGCCUUCCUUUUUGGUGUGUGUGGUUGAGUGGCGAACGGGUGAGUAACACGUGAGUACCCUGCCCCCUUCUUCUGGAUAACCGCAUGACAGUGUUGCUAAUACGUGAUAUUCUGGGUCUGUCGCAUGAUUGGUCUUUGAAAGCUUUUGUUUCUGUGGGGGAUGGGCGGGGGGCCUAUCAGCUUGGUGGGGGGGUGAUGGCCUACCAAGGCGGUGAGGGGUUGACGGCGUGGGAGGGUGGACGGACACACAGGGGCUGAGACAAGGAGAAGACGCCGACGGGAGGCAGCAGGGAAGAAGAGUGAACAAUGGGAGAAAGGCUGAAGCAGCGACGCCGGGGGAGGGAAGGAGGGCGGCGGGUUGUGAACCUCUUUCGCGAGAGAAGAAGGCCUGCAGAGUAUGUGGGUGGGUUGACGGUAGCUGGAUAAGAAGCGCCGGCUAACUACGUG
rnacentral:rRNA from 1 species